UAUGGUCAUAUCAUGUUAAAGCACCGAUUCCCGUACGAUCACCGAAGUUAAGCAACGUCGAUCCUGGUCAGUACCUAGAUGAGUGAUCAUAUAGGAAUACCAGGC